GUUCACUUUGACAGAAUAUAUCCUAAAAUUGGAAAGAUACAGAGAAAUUUAUAAUGGCCUCUGUGCAAACCUGACACACAAUUCCCUAAAGUGUUCUUUUUUCUU
ensembl:snRNA U6 U6 spliceosomal RNA